UACGUAGGGACCAAGCGUUGUUCGGAAUUACUGGGCGUAAAGCGUGCGCAGGCGGCUUUGCAAGACAGAUGUGAAAUCCCCGGGCUUAACCUGGGAACUGCAUUUGUGACUGCAUGGCUGGAGUGCGGCAGAGGGGGAUGGAAUUCCGCGUGUAGCAGUGAAAUGCGUAGAUAUGCGGAGGAACACCGAUGGCGAAGGCAAUCCCCUGGGCCUGCACUGACGCUCAUGCACGAAAGCGUGGGGAGCAAACAGG
rnacentral:rRNA from 1 species